rnacentral:rRNA from 1 species
GCAAGCGGUUAAAGCACAUUGAAUGUACCAGUUCGCCAUGGAUAACUGGAGUUAAACAACUUUGCGCUUGGUUAGUACCUAGAUGGUGACCAUUUGGGGAAUCGCGUGCUGCUAGCU